rnacentral:lncRNA from 1 species
GGUGUAGGCUGCUCAAAUGGGCCUUGGUACAGACAGCAAAUGACCAACUAAAUUGCUGUUUGUGGUCUGCACAUCAAUUGUUAACAUGUCCUUGCUUAUUGAAACCAAUUGUACAAUUUGCCAACUUUGAAUAAGUGUAAAAUGGAGGUGUGAGUUUGGUCGAAAUGGGCCUCACAACAGGCUGCUACUGACCUUUGCUUAUGCUGUUUUUG